UACGUAGGGUGCGAGCGUUGUCCGGAAUUAUUGGGCGUAAAGAGCUCGUAGGCGGUUUGUUGCGUCUAUCGUGAAAACCUGCAGCUUAACUGUGGGCUUGCGGUGGAUACGGGCAGACUUGAGUUCGGUAGGGGAGACCGGAAUUCCUGGUGUAGCGGUGAAAUGCGCAGAUAUCAGGAGGAACACCGGUGGCGAAGGCGGGUCUCUGGGCCGAUACUGACGCUGAGGAGCGAAAGCGUGGGGAGCGAACAGG
rnacentral:rRNA from 1 species